rnacentral:lncRNA from 1 species
CAAAACAUAGUUUAUACAGAUUUUUUCCCAGCUAACAACAGAUCAGCACCCACGAACAAGUAUCCACAUUGAGGACAUACCACUACGUCGUUUUGAUGCGUCGAUGGUUGCUCCGGAACGUAUUCCGGAAUCUCUGGUGCAGGCUGAGACAUAGGCGUUAGCGCAGGCGAAGGUGGAGGCGGCGAAGGACGACGACGAGAUGUCGGACGGACAAUGUUGCAUUGGCUUCCUGGUUGAACAAGUGAGAAUGCCUCGUACUCCCUCGUAACUGGUGGAGUGCGAGGGUUCAAACGACGUCUCGUUGACGGAGGGGUCUCGUAGAUGUCGUUGUCUUCAUACGUGAUAUCUAUGAUCUCUCUUUCUCGGAGAAUCCGUCUCUGCGUUCGACGGAUAGGACCAUCUCCAGUGGAGCAGCCACGUACCAAUUUGGAGUUUUCG